UGGGGAAUAUUGGACAAUGGGCGGAAGCCUGAUCCAGCCAUGCCGCGUGUGUGAAGAAGGUCUUCGGAUUGUAAAGCACUUUAAGUUGGGAGGAAGGGCAGUAAGCGAAUACCUUGCUGUUUUGACGUUACCGACAGAAUAAGCACCGGCUAACUCUGUGCCAGCAGCCGCGGUAAUACAGAGGGUGCAAGCGUUAAUCGGAAUUACUGGGCGUAAAGCGCGCGUAGGUGGUUCGUUAAGUUGAAUGUGAAAGCCCCGGGCUCAACCUGGGAACUGCAUCCAAAACUGGCGAGCUAGAGUAGGGCAGAGGGUGGUGGAAUUUCCUGUGUAGCGGUGAAAUGCGUAGAUAUAGGAAGGAACACCAGUGGCGAAGGCGACCACCUGGGCUCAUACUGACACUGAGGUGCGAAAGCGUGGGGAGCAAACAGG
rnacentral:rRNA from 1 species